UGUAACUGCAAACCUCUGGAAACAGAGGAAUCCUUCGAGGGUGUUACACAGCUGCUGCAUGGUUGUCGUCAGUUCGUGUCGUGAGGCGUCGGCUUAAGUGCCGUAACGAACGCAACCCCUGUGCUAUGUUAAAUAUCCAUAGCAGACUGCCUUGGAUUUUUCCAAGGAGGAAGGAGGGGAUGACGUCAAAUCAGCAUGGCGCUUAUAUCUAGGGCUACACACAUGGCGUAAUGGGUGGGACAACGGGAUGCCAAGGCGCGAGCCGGAGCUAAUCCUUAUAAACCCAUCCUCAGUUUGGAUUGCAGGCUGCAAUUCGCCUGCAUGAAAGGGAGUUGAUAGUAAUCGCGGAUCAGCAACACCGCGGUGAAUACGUUCUCGUUUCUU
rnacentral:rRNA from 1 species